GGUCAAGAAGGAAGAGGAGGAGGAGGAGAGCCACAGGCGAAUCAAGAAACUGAAAACUGAGAAGGUAGGAUACGAUCGCCUUCUUGUGUGCCCCCCACUCUGUGUGCAUUUGUUUGGGGUUGUGGGAUGUGCCUCCAGGUGUCUUACACUUCCUAGUGCUUUCGGGUUCUCCGUGAGAUUUCUAUGACGUUCAUCCUUUAUGGAUGCUAUCCCGAGUGCAGAUUUUGGCUCUUGCUUCUGCUGCUUGCUUCUGCUGGUGGUGCCAGCGUUUGAAAGGUCAUAGGGUGGGAGGCUCUGAAUGGUCCAAGUGCCUUUUGCCUUCUUGUAAGAGCGACUGGGCAGCCAGCAAAUUGUCCGUGUGUGCUUUGACCAGAAAACCUGCUGCGGCACUAGCUUGAGUUUCGUCCUGGUUUCUUCCCUAAAGAGAAUUGUCGUCUGUGUUAUUGUUAACCGUGUGUCUUUAGGAACAGGGUUCUAGUUCCCUCUGUGGAAAGGGAGUGUGUAGUGUUAUUGACACUCAUUGUUCUGUUACUUUCCCCCAAAUAGUUCCGUCAAAGGAUGUACUCCAGGCUGGGAGUAUUGAUCACUGACUUUGUAACUAUGCAGUCAAACUGUGCCAGUUUUGGGUGACUGUGGAGACGCUCUCUACUUUGCUCUCUCACCCACUGCAGCUAGAGCCGUGAGACUGUUAUCACUUCGGUCUUUAGCUUGCCUGGGCAGCUGGGAGAUUAGUAAGUAAGACUCGGAAAGCACAUUUGGCUUGUGUUCUUGAAAUGUGAGGAUCCGACCAAGGGGGCCAUUGGGGCAGCAGGGAAGCCAACUGUGGUUUAACAAUGCCUGACGUGAGCCAUUUGGACCCCUGCACUCUUGUUGUUCAUUGUCUUAAAGUCUGUGGUUAGACACUGUGCUGGAAACCCCCUGCUCCAGUGUUACCUUGAUUAGGCAUGGAGGCCUGGGGUUUGCUUGUCUGAGAUGCAGUUGCUUUGGGGUAAUGUUUGGGAACUGGCGGCUAUGUGUCCUCCAGGCUCAUUGGUUGGGAGGUGAGAGUGGUGUUUCUGUGAAAUUAAUCUUUAGACUCAUUCCACAAGUUGUAGCAUGAAGAUGUAGUGUUUCUAUCAAGUGGUUGUAGUAACGUGAUUUCUUCUAACUAUGCUUAUUAUUGUGGUACGAUUAUGUUUCCCCUUUCUGGCUGUAAUGAUGCGAAGAAGUCUCCUGGGGAUUACUCCUGCAUGAAAUAACACAAAGUUCUCUGAUUCCCUUUAUUUUCAACUUCAGGUGCUCAGAGUUAAAGUUGGAAUGGACAUAGGAAUAAAGUUCUGAUUGUAAACACUGAUGGAGGCAGAGAGAGGCAUAGACAAUACCGUCAAACUUGCAAAAGGCUACUGAUUGCUUUUGGAAUCCAAAUCCUCUUAGCCUUUUACAUUGAUGAAUUUAGAUCAAUUUAAAAAAAUCUCAGGCUUUGCUUCUUACUUUAAAUGUGUGGUUUCACAUAAUUUCUACUAAAAGACAGUUUGAAAUCUUCUUAUUACUUAGUACAGUGGGACAUUUACUUUUGUUGCCAAUAGUCUUCAAAUUGCAGCUUUAAUCUGCUUUAACUAUCUGGAUGAAUUGCCCUAAUCCAGUGCUCACAAUGCUGUGGUUAAGGAGUCAGAGCUAUUUGAUUGGAUCCACUGGCUGCUGGGAAUGUGGGAGGUUCUGGCCUUUUGCAUUCCCCUUAGCCUUUUAAUCUUCCAGCCAAAUGUUCACAUUCAACAAUUUUGUUUAGCUGGCGAUCGGAACAUUUCAGGAUCUCAAAGGCUGCUGUCAUGGCAACUGAGAUUAGUGCGUGGUGUCGGCUCUCCAGUUUGUGUUCCUUUGGCUCCCCAGUCACAGAGGGAAGUGGCUGAAGAAUGGAGUGGCUGAAUUAUUCGCACGCAUGCAAUGCGUCUUCAGGCAGAGCAGUAUAAAUGGCAUCCUAUGAAUUCCAUAAAUGAAGAGCGAACAAGUCAUGCCCGGAAGCAGGGGUGGAGGUGGGGGCAGGGAAGAGAGAGGACGCGGCCCUGCUGUGUGGAAGCCAUGCUCCAACCUCAGCCACCAGAGUUGACCCAGAAAUCAUUUUAGGAUGGUUUCAGGGGCCUGGAACCUUCAGUGUUAGCCACUCUUGCCAAGCUGAGGGGUUGGCUUGGGAUCUUAAACAUUGGUCCUUAAACACUGCCCCACCCCCACCCCCAAAAAGAAGAGAGCCUAAUCCCACUAACUUAUUGGGUAUGUCAAAUUAGGCUUUGUUUUAGAAAAUACAGUGGCCGAAGGAUGCCUGUUUAGGAAGCUAGAACUUAAGAGGGCAUACUUGAAAACAUGCUUCACAUCUGAGGCCUCAUGAAAGAAGUUUUUUUUUUUUUUUUUUUUUUUUUAAUAAAAACAUUCUAUAUGCUUUAAGUUCAACAUACUUGAAGAACCAGGUUACUGGAGCAUAGGUACCUUCAGAGGCAAGAUGCAACAAGAUUUUCUGGUUUUUCUCUUCUUUCUUUCUUUCUUUCUUUCUUUCUUUCUUUCUUUCUUUCUUUCUUUUCUGGUUGGAAGGUUAAAGGAGAUUCAUAAGAUGCGCUGUCACUGUUUAAUUUUCACAGCAUGCUUAACUGUCUAUUUUUGGUCUGUUUACUCUGUUUCUUCACUACCCAGGGUCAUGUAAAGCAUGAUAAAUUGGACCUUAUGAAACCUAAUUAAAUCAAUGAGUGUUCUGGCUCCUUUAUGUGGAAACCACAAGUAUGUUGUAAAAUUCGCCACUCCCUUAAUACGUGAAAAAAAAUCAAAACAAACCAUAAUUCCAAGAUGUUUGAGCUGUAGCUCUAUAGCCCAUUUUGUGGUUAAGCCACCAGUGACAUGUCUGCCUAAGUAGGUUUGAUGAGUUGGCUUUUGGUUGUUAGAACCUGCCUCUCCACCUUCCAUUCCUGCCUUUCAAAGCAGAAUGGUCUAGCAUUGAAGCUGUUUGCAUAUCUCUCUUCAUUGUCUUACAGUUUAGAUUUAUCAGAAAAGGAACUAUUGGGCUGGUUUAAAUAGUUAUAUAAAGUACUGUUACAAUCAGUGGAAUUAUUUAAUCACUAGAAUACUGGGAAACACACAAGAAAAAAAC
rnacentral:lncRNA from 1 species